UUGCUGGAUUAGGAAUGAGGCGCCAAAGGAAGCACAGCCAGGAAAAUGGCCCCACAGCCUAGAUCAGCAUCUGUGGGAAAGGAAAAAGGGUUCCCAUGGGGACAGCCCCCAUAGGAGUUUUCUGGAACCAGUAACACUGAAAAAUAAGUGUGUGGCUACAGAUGAGCACGCCCACCCCUUGCAACUCCCUGUUUACAAGUUGUCCGAGGCAUUGGAGUGCUUAUGGUCAAUGGGCUCUAGGGAAGUAGGAAACUCCAUCAUGAUACAAAUGUCUAGUAAUUUUAAAGUUUCUUUCCCUUUUUUUCUGUGCUGGAAAUGUUCACAGAUUUGAUUCCCGCCCCAAGAAUUACAACAAUGUAUUCAUACAGUCAGUUGGAAUCCAAAGGCAAUUAAUUCUAUUUUGCAAAAUAUGAUGGUCUUCCUAAAAAACAAGUACUGAGUUCUCAUUUCAAAAGUUACCAAGAACUGAAUUCUUUAAACUAGCAAACCGAAGUAACAUGACCAUUUUUGCCUUAGUGGGAGGUUUCAAAUGUGCAGCUCAUGGCAUUUACCUGCCGACCAUCUUUUGCCAAGUUUAGAAUUCUUAUGCGUUUCAAGUUCUAUAUAGAAAGUAAUUUUACUUUUGAUUUUUCUCUUGUUAAAAAAAAACUCCUUUAUUCUAAGAACAAUGUCUCAAAGUCUCAUUUUUACUUUAAAGGUAUAAGAGACUUCUAAAGAGACUUACGGGAUAUAAAAGUAAUUCCUGGAAAUGAUAUUUGAUGAGGAGAAUGUAAGAGAAUGAAAAACACAUUGAUGUUUUCAUUUUUAAAAAAUACAACUAGCAUGAGAAAUCAAGAAAAUAUGUUUACCAAAAUGCAUUGCAAUUUUCCCAAACCUGAGUCUUCAAAUAACAAACAUGAACUUAUAGGUACUGUGAACUAGAAGAAUUGGUUAUAUCCAGAUUUCUGGGAGAUAAAUUAAAACAUAUUUUUGUGGCAUAAAUAAGCUGAUUCAGAAGUUACAUUUCUUAACUUUAGGUAGAGGAGAAUAUUUGUAUCCUUUUGUUGCUAUGCAACUGUUUAAUGAUGAAGCUUCAAACCACAAUUUUGUAUAUCAUAUGACAAUCAAUUGUUUUCCAAGAAUAUUUAUUAUUUUAAGUACACAAUUUCAGUGAAUCUUGAGUUUUUCUAGGAGUCCCUUAAAGGGAAAUUAGCAUUCCAUGAGCCAGUAAAAUACCUACUCUGGUAAAACAUUAUUAUGGUUAAAAAGUAAAUUCAAGUUAGUUUUUUAUAAAGAACUAUAACAUUUAUUUUAAACAUUUUAUAAUAACUGAAAACAUUAAAGUGAGCAAAUGAAAUUUCAAAACCACUUGUAAUAAUGUAUUUUAUAAUCGCACUGUGAUACUAUAUAACACAGUCUCUUUUGUAUUAAAAUAGUAUUUUUUUCACAAGCUGAAAAAUAUCUUUUCCUUUGUUGACAAUGUUUUGUAAGAUGACUUUAUUUUCAGAUCUUUUUCUCCUUUUUUGCACAAAACUAUGCUUAUGGUUUGUGUCACAGAAGUGAAAAUAUAUCUUUGCAUUUUUAUAUCUGGUCUGUUUUUCUUGUUUCCUUUGUUUUUAACUUGAUAUAGAUUUUCUUCAAAUAUAUAAUGGCAAUUUUCAGAUAUCUCACCUUACCAUAUCUUUCCUUAUUUUCACUGCAUGCAUUUAAUCACUGUAUUACUUAAUGUUUGAUUUGUUAUUAUGGGCAUUUCAAAUAGGCAAGCAUUGAAUUGUAAUGACAAAAAGGCUAUUUUAUAUUAAGGAUAUAUGCAUUUGUAUUUCACACACCAGAGAUGAUAUUAAACACUGAUUAUUUUAUGCUGCUGUUUAUUAAAAAUGUUUACUAUAAAA
rnacentral:lncRNA from 1 species